GACGAACGCUGGCGGCGCGCCUAACACAUGCAAGUCGAGCGAGAACCGGAGCUUCGGCUCCGGGGACAGCGGCGAACGGGUGAGUAACACGUGGAUAACCUGCCCUCGGCACCGGAAUAGCCCGGGGAAACCCGGAUUAAUGCCGGAUAGCCCCACAUCCCUGCGGGGAACGUGGGAAAAGGUAGCUUCGGCCUCUGGCCGAGGAUGGGUCCGCGGUGGAUUAGCUUGUUGGUGCGGGUAAUGGCCCACCAAGGCGACGAUCCAUAGCUGGUCUGAGAGGAAGAUCAGCCACAGUGGGACUGAGACACGGCCCAGACGCCUACGGGGUGCAGCAGUGGGGAAUCUUGCGCAAUGGGCGGAAGCCUGACGCAGCGACGCCGCGUGCGGGAAGAAGGCUUUCGGGUUGUAAACCGCUUUCAGGAGGGACGAAGCCACUCGGGUGAAUAGCCCAGAGGGUGACGGUACCUCCAGAAGAAGCCCCGGCUAACUACGUGCCAGCCGCCGCAGUAAUAC
rnacentral:rRNA from 1 species